CUUGAAUAUUAUUAUAGAUAGAGAUAAACUGUUAACAGCAAUAAUGUUCAGCAAAGUAUGAUCUACAAAUAAGUCAACAUGACCAAAUUGUCAGUUGACUCCUUAAGGAGUUAUUGCCCUUUAUAUUCAAUUUUCAUAAAUUUUUGUAAAAUUUUAGUAAUCUUUUAAAAAAAUCUUCUCAUCUGAAACUAAUGGGCCAAAUUUAACCAAACUUGGCCACAAUAAUCAUUGGGGUAUCUUGCUUUGAACAUGUGUCUGAUGACCCAGCCAACCAAC
rnacentral:lncRNA from 1 species